rnacentral:rRNA from 1 species
AGCGUACGCUGGCGGCCGGCCUAACACAUGCAAGUCGAACGCAAUCUUCGGAGUUAGUGGCGGACGGGCGAGUAGCCCGUGGGAACGUGCCUUUAGGCUCGGAAUAACUCAGGGAAAAUUGUGGUAAUAUCGAAUGUGCCCUUCGGGGGCUAGCUUUAUCGCCUUUCGAGCGGCCCGCGUUUGUUUAGCUAGUCAGUGAGGAAAAGGCUCACCAAGGGGACGAUCAGGAGCUGGUCUGAGAGGAUGAGCAGGCACAGUGGGACUGAGAUACGGCCCAAACUCCGACGGGAGGCAGCAGAGGGGAAUCCUACGCAAGGGGCGAAAGCCUGACGCAACCAUGCCGCGUGAAUGAUGAAGGUCUUAGGAGGGUAAAACUCUUUCGCCAUGGGCAAUAAGGACGGUACCCGGAGAAGAAGCCCCGGGUAGCUUCGUG